AAAUUGAAGAGUUUGAUCAUGGCUCAGAUUGAACGCUGGCGGCAGGCCUAACACAUGCAAGUCGAGCGGCAGCGGGAAAGUAGCUUGCUACU
rnacentral:rRNA from 2 species